CUCCUGAUAGCUCAGUUGGUAGAGCGAUGGACUGUAAUUGUCGUCUAUGAGAUCCACAGGUCGCGUGUUCGACUCACGCUCGGGAGA